rnacentral:lncRNA from 1 species
CCCCUUCCAUUUUUUUGUAGUACUUGCACUUGAAUCCAGGAUAUAUGUUGUCCCUGUGUUGCCAUACUGGAUCGAUCCGAUCCAACAUCCCUUGAAAUAACAACACGAACUGUUAUUACCAUAUAUUGCAAGUGCCACUGCUAUUUUAAAAGAUUUCAAACAGAAAUGGGGGAAAAUCUCCAAAACCUAGCUCCUACUCGGCUUGUCGACUAACCGGUGUUUCUGGCCGAUUAAUCGGUAACUCGGCUUGAUAAAUCAGCACACACAGCCGAUUAGCCGGUCCUAACUGAUGGGACGUCUUGGGGCCUAAGCCGGAUAAUCAGAUCGAUUUAUCACUACCUCUACAUCGAUUAAUCGAUUGAACCGGGCACCGUCUUUUCGAUCCUCUAGGGCAGCUAGCCGGUGCUUCGAGCGGCACCGCCUGUUCAGGCGACGGACGAUCGGCAUCACCGACCGGACGAGGAUGGGGGAGGGAGAGAGGAGGGUUUGUCUUGCCUGUGUUGGCGACUUGGCGUAGGGUUUAAAAUGG